GGGGUGAUUGCAGCAGCCCCCCCCUGCCCCGUGACAAGGGGCCCCGUGACCUUCCGCCAGGCCAGGCCAGGCGCGUGGGGUUAUAGGAGAUGGCGGUGACCCCCGACCGACUCCUAGGAUCUAAGCAGACCUGUGUGCCAGGGGAGCAGCACACCAGAGGCUUGUCAGGAGGGGGCUCCCAUCAGGAGAGAGGCAUCGGCAAGGCGACCCAUGGCUGGUAGGGGGCCCGCCUUGCUGUGUGUGAAAUGCAGGCGUGAGCCCUGGCACCCUGUGCCGAGUGCCUGGGGGAGGCCCAGGGCUGUGGUCGCUCUCUCUCUGCAAACAACAGUGAGGACCCAGGAGUGACCAAGUGACCAAGGGUCCGCACGCAGAAAGCCUGGCUGGCAGCGAGUCAGCCCAGUGCUGGUAGUUCAUGGUGAUUGUGCGGACAGACGGCGGCUGUCCACUUCUUCCCGUCUUGAAGGAUUUCAGUUUCACGACCUACAUUAAGCUGUGUCGGAAACAUCAGGCAAUUUGGGCCGCGUGUGAAGAUGCUGGACGUGGCGUAUUUCCAAUGAAACCAGGCUGGGGAGGCCACACGUCAUCGCUCCAGGUCAGCAGAAAUCUAUCUUCCACCAGGUUCCAGAUGCUACCAUGAUGCCAACCAGACUUCCCUGGACAGACGACUCCACCAAUGUGUCCUGGAGCUCCGCUUCCCCAGAGCCCUGCCCCACUAGGGAAAGGGAGAGACAGGCUGGGAGUAUGGAUCCACCUGUCAACACCCAUGUUUAGCGGGGAAGCAGUUACAGAAGCCAGACCUUCCACCUUCUGCAUCCCACAGUGACCCUGGGUCCCUGCUCCCAGAGGGAUAGAGAAUGGGAAAGCUAUCAGGGGAGGGGAUGGGAUACGGAGUUCUGGUGGCGGGAACUGUGGAGUUGUACCCCUCUUAUCCUAUGGUUUUGUCAGUGUUUCCUUUUUAUAAAUAAAAAAAUAAAUAAUAAAUAAUAAAAAAAGAAUCACAAGUCCCCCCGCCCCUAUAAAAGAAUCACAAGCCCAUAUACUAAUAAAUAUUUCUCUUCCCCCCCAAAAAAAGCACAUGUUACCAUGUUCAAGGACCCGGGUUCAAGCCCCCAGUCCCCACCUGCAGAAGAAAAGCUUCACAAGUGGUGAUUCAGGGCUGCUGGUGUCUCUCUGCCUCUUUCCCUCCCCCAUUCAAUUUCUCUCUAUCUCUAUCCAAUAAUAAAUAAAUAAAAGAUAAAAAACCA